rnacentral:rRNA from 1 species
CCAAUAGCGUAUAUUAAAGUUGUUGCAGUUAAAAAGCUCGUAGUUGAAUUUCGAGACCGGCUUACUGGUCGUGCUAUUGUACGUACUGGUAUAAUCGGUUUCUCCUUUCUGACGAACUAUAAUGCCAUUAAUUUGGUGUUUUAGGGAAUCAGGACUGUUACUUUGAAAAAAUUAGAGUGUUUAAAGCAGGCUCACGCUUGAAUACAUUAGCAUGGAAUAA